ACCUUUAUUCUGUAGAACCUUGUCAAUGAAGAAAACCUUAGGCCUGUCAGAAAAGAAUUCAGCAUGUUUUACAAAAACUUCACGGAGAUGUUUAUUUCCAUUUAUAAAUACAACCCAUUUUCCUCCAAGGGAUAAACUAAAAAUAUUUCCAUACGUAGCCUUCAGUUUUCCACUGAUUUCAAUUAAAUUACCCUGCAACAGAAUUGUUAAAUUUCCCAAAAAUGGCAAAAUUCUAGGUCCUGGUGGCGAGCCAUAUGGGCGACGUGAUUUUAACAGAAACAAUGUUAUAGUUAUUAUGAUAAAAGCAAUCAAAAAACCUGAACUGCAAAAUAAAUUUAUAACCUGCAUCUUCGAUCACAGUGUAAACAAGUAUAUGAAGAUUCUAAUAUGAC
rnacentral:lncRNA from 1 species